rnacentral:rRNA from 1 species
GUCUUUUUGAAAUAAUUUAAAGUCUAAUCUGCCCACUGAUAAAAAAUUAAAGGGCUGCAGUAUAAUGACUGUACAAAGGUAGCAUAAUCAAUAGUUUUUUAAUUGAAAACUUGUAUGAAAGAUUUGAUGAAAUAUAAACUGUCUCUAAUUUAUAAAUUGAAUUUUAUUUUUUAGUAAAAAAGCUAAAAUAAAUUUAAAAGACGAGAAGACCCUAUAGAGUUUUAUAUUUAAUUUUAUUAGAAGUUUAUAUAAAAAUUAAUAUUAAAAAUAAAAUUAAAUGUUAUAUUGGGGUGAUAGAAAAAUUAAAUUAACUUUUUUUAAAAAUUAAACAUAAAUAAAUGAUUAUAUGAUCCAUAAAUAAUGAUUACAAGAAAAAAUUACCUUAGGGAUAACAGCGUAAUAUUUUUUUUUAGUUCAAAUAAAAAAAAAAGUUUGCGACCUCGAUGUUGGAUUAAGAUAAAAUUUAAAUGCAAAAGUUUAAAAGUUUUGAUCUGUUCGAUCAUUAAAAUCUUACA